AAAUUGAAGAGUUUGAUCAUGGCUCAGAUUGAACGCUGGCGGCAGGCCUAACACAUGCAAGUCGAACGGUAACAGGAAGCAGCUUGCUGCUUCGCUGACGAGUGGCGGACGGGUGAGUAAUGUCUGGGAAACUGCCUGAUGGAGGGGGAUAACUACUGGAAACGGUGGCUAAUACCGCAUAACGUCGCAAGACCAAAGAGGGGGACCUUCGGGCCUCUUGCCAUCAGAUGUGCCCAGAUGGGAUUAGCUUGUUGGUGAGGUAACGGCUCACCAAGGCGACGAUCCCUAGCUGGUCUGAGAGGAUGACCAGCCACACUGGAACUGAGACACGGUCCAGACUCCUACGGGAGGCAGCAGUGGGGAAUAUUGCACAAUGGGCGCAAGCCUGAUGCAGCCAUGCCGCGUGUAUGAAGAAGGCCUUCGGGUUGUAAAGUACUUUCAGCGGGGAGGAAGGUGUUGCGGUUAAUAACCGCAGCAAUUGACGUUACCCGCAGAAGAAGCACCGGCUAACUCCGUGCCAGCAGCCGCGGUAAUACGGAGGGUGCAAGCGUUAAUCGGAAUUACUGGGCG
rnacentral:rRNA from 2 species